AGCGAACGCUAGCGGCGGGCUUAAGACAUGCAAGUCGAGCGCCCCUUCGGGGGAGCGGCGAACGGGUGAGUAACACGUAGAUAACGUGCCUUUAGAUGGGGGAUAACUUCGGGAAACUGAAGCUAAUACCGCAUGUGUCCUUCGGGAUGAAAGCCUUCGGGCGUCUGAAGAGCGGUCUGCGGCCCAUUAUUUAAUCCUUGUUGGUGAGGUAACGGCUCACCAAGGGUACGAUGGGUAGCUGGUCUGAGAGGAUGAUCAGCCACACUGGGACUGAGACACGGCCCAG
rnacentral:rRNA from 1 species